rnacentral:misc_RNA from 1 species
AAGGAGAAUCAUCUCUUUCUACAGCUAUAAAAGCCCCCAUGGAAGAUUCCCCAUGCAGAUUGCUCUGCGUCUUUAAACGAGAGAAAGUAUCAACUUCACAGAUGGCUCUCCUCUUCACCCUCAUCUUCUCUUUAUACUCUCUGUUCCCUUUGCUAGCUGUCAUUCCACAUGCUUCAACCUGCUCAAUUCCCUCCAAUAGUCCAUCUUUUCUGUUACCCAUCCUUCCAGAAUUGUUCUUGGUAGCCUUUUCCGUUAAUAAUCUCCAAUUUACCAUUAAUAUAAUUAUAUCUUUUCUGAAGCUGAUGUUCCUAUAAAGGUUUGAGAUUAUGGUUUAUUUUUUGGGUCACUUUCAUUAACAU